AGUCCCCUGCUGUGUUUGUGAUUGGUGGAACGUUCCUGUUCCAACAGCAACAAAAGGGGAGCCCCCUCUUGCUCCGGUGUGCAUGUCAGGGUACUGAAAGCCUAAAGGAGUGAUGGGGCACCCACCUUAACUUUUCGGUUCAUGGCCGACCACCAACACGGCACUAUGCGGGGGGUUU
rnacentral:other from 1 species